rnacentral:snoRNA from 1 species
CCCGAUGACGAGUGAGCUGUUAGCCGAACGCUAUUAUGGGGAGAGGAUGGCUGGCCGAGG